rnacentral:rRNA from 1 species
AGAGCGAACGCUGGCGGCAGGCUUAACACAUGCAAGUCGAGCGGGCGUAGCAAUACGUCAGCGGCAGACGGGUGAGUAACGCGUGGGAACAUACCUUUUGGUUCGGAACAACACAGGGAAACUUGUGCUAAUACCGGAUAAGCCCUUACGGGGAAAGAUUUAUCGCCGAAAGAUUGGCCCGCGUCUGAUUAGCUAGUUGGUGAGGUAACGGCUCACCAAGGCGACGAUCAGUAGCUGGUCUGAGAGGAUGAUCAGCCACAUUGGGACUGAGACACGGCCCAAACUCCUACGGGAGGCAGCAGUGGGGAAUAUUGGACAAUGGGCGCAAGCCUGAUCCAGCCAUGCCGCGUGAGUGAUGAAGGCCCUAGGGUUGUAAAGCUCUUUUGUGCGGGAAGAUAAUGACGGUACCGCAAGAAUAAGCCCCGGCUAACUCGUGCCAGCAGCCGC